GUAGGUGAACCUGCGGAAGGAUCAUUAAUGAAACUUCAAAGUCGGCUCUGUUCUGUGCUGGUGGUCUUCCACAUGUGCACGUCAGAGUCGCAAAUCCACACACCUGUGCAUCUUUGACUCGAGGUCUGGAAAAUGACCAAGAGUACUUUUACACACUCUGAAUGUAAUGGAAUGUCUAUGUGCAAUAAUGUACAAAUAAACAACUUUCAACAACGGAUCUCUUGGCUCUC
rnacentral:misc_RNA from 1 species